GAUGAACGCUAGCGGCAGGCUUAAUACAUGCAAGUCGAGGGGGCAGCAAUGUCACCGGCGAACGGGUGCGUAACACGUAUGCAACCUACCUAUAUCAGGGGGAUAGCCCGAGGAGACUCGGAUUAAUACCGCAUAACAUUAGGAUCGGCAUCGAUUUUAAUUGAAAGAUUUAUUGGAUAUAGAUGGGCAUGCGUAGGAUUAGCUAGUUGGUAAGGUAACGGCUUACUAAGGCUACGAUCCUUAGGGGCUCUGAGAGGAGUAUCCCCCACACUGGCACGGAGAUGCGGGCCAGAAUCCUACGGGAGGCAGCAGUAGGGAAUAUUGGGCAAUGGGCGAAAGCCUGACCCAGCCAUGCCGCGUGCAGGAAGACGGCCCUCUGGGUUGUAGACUGCUUUUGAAUGGGAAGAAAGGUAUGCUUGCGAGCGUAAUUGACGGUACCAUUAGAAUAAGCCACGGCUAACUACGUGCCAGCCGCCGCAGUAA
rnacentral:rRNA from 1 species